ACGGGUGAGUAAUAUAUCGGAACGUGCCCAAUCGUGGGGGAUAACGUAGAGAAAUUUACGCUAAUACCGCAUACGAUCUAAGGAUGAAAGCGGGGGAUCGCAAGACCUCGCGCGAUUGGAGCGGCUGAUAUCAGAUUAGGUUGUUGGUGAGGUAAAAGCUCACCAAGCCGACGAUCUGUAGCUGGUUUGAGAGAACGACCAGCCACACUGGGACUGAGACACGGCCCAGACUCCUACGGGAGGCAGCAGUGGGGAAUUUUGGACAAUGGGCGAAAGCCUGAUCCAGCAAUGCCGCGUGCAGGAAGAAGGCCUUCGGGUUGUAAACUGCUUUUGUACGGAACGAAACGGUCUGCCCUAAUACGGCGGGCUAAUGACGGUACCGUAAGAAUAAGCACCGGCUAACUACGUGCCAGCAGCCGCGGUAAUACGUAGGGUGCGAGCGUUAAUCGGAAUUACUGGGCGUAAAGCGUGCGCAGGCGGUUAUGUAAGACAGUUGUGAAAUCCCCGGGCUCAACCUGGGAAUUGCAUCUGUGACUGCAUAGCUAGAGUACGGUAGAGGGGGAUGGAAUUCCGCGUGUAGCAGUGAAAUGC
rnacentral:rRNA from 3 species